AUGGGUCACCAGCAGCUGUACUGGAGCCACCCAAGAAAAUUCAGCCAGGGUUCUUGCUCUUGUUGAGUUUAUUCAAACCGGCAUGGUCCGAUCCAGAAAUAUGGCCUCAAUAUGUGCCACCAGUGUUUCCGUCAGUACGCGAGGGAUAUCGGUUUCAUUAAGUUGGACUAAAUGAUCUUCCUUCAAAGGGUUAUCCAAGAUAUCUACCAUGAAAAACCAUGUUAGUUCUUUGUACAUAAAAUAAACAUU